GUAUGCCAAACAGUUACUGAAGAGAUCGAGCAAAGGCUAACGGUUGAGAUUGAGCAAAGGGUCACUGAGAAGUUGAAGGCAGAGUUCGAGCAAGUUAGAGCUUGGAUGGACUUCAUAAGGUCCCAAGGUGGCCUAAGUGGUAUACAGCUUCCAAAUGCCUCUAGUGGACGUCAACAAGUCAGGAAGUCUGUAGGAGAUCAUGAUAGUCAAGAUGAUGAGUUGUUGGGUUCUCCUGUGCAGGUUUUGCAUGAAGACUGAUAGAUGAAUUAAUGGUGGCAUGGAAGCUAACUUUAUUUUUGGACAUAUUAUAUUAUGGCUUGAGAUGUCAAGCUUUUUGUACUUAAUAUUUAUAACAUAUUGCUACCAUACUUUUUGUAUUGAUGUAACAAAUUUUUUGUUAAUAUUUUGAUGUCAAUGAAGCUAAGAUGAUGACUGAAUUUGUAUAAAUAUUUUUGGUUUUUGAAUGAAUGAAUGUCUAUUGAUUGAAUGCA